rnacentral:rRNA from 1 species
GUACCUGGUUGAUCCUGCCAGUAGUGAUAUGCUUGUUUCAAAGAUUAAGCCAUGCAUGUCUAAGUAUAAGCGAACUUAUACAGUGAAACUGCGGAUGGCUCAUUAAAACAGUUUGAAUUUAUUUGAUGGAUGUACGCGAGUACUACAUGGAUAUCCGUAGUAAUUCUAGAGCUAAUACAUGCAGGAACGCCCGACCCUCGCGGAAGGGCUGUAUUUAUUGGAUACAAAAACCAAACCUGGCAACAGGUUUCGUUUGUUGAUUCACAAUAACUGAUCGGACCGUUGCCUCGGCAGCGGCAGGUCAUUCAACAUUCUGCCCUAUCAGCUUUCGAUGGUUGUGUAGUGGACAACCAUGGCCGCAACGGGUAACGGAGAAUCGGGGUUCGAUUCCGGAGAGGGAGCUUGAGAAUUGGCUACCACAUCUAAGGAAGGCAGCAGGCGCGCAAAUUACCCAAUCCUGACUCAGGGAGGUAGUGACAAAAA